rnacentral:rRNA from 1 species
CAUAGCCUGAUGUAUAUAUUAGGUAUCUUCUGCUCAAUGAUUUAAAUAGCCGCAGUAAUUUGACUGUGCAAAGGUAGCAUAAUAAAUUGGCCUUUAAUUGUGGUCUUGAAUGAAAGGAAAAUACAUUGGCUUUCUAUAUGUUAUAUUGUAAACUUACUAAUAAGGUGAAAAUUCCUUUAGGUACAGAAAGACGAGAAGACCCUUAGAAUUUUCAUAAUUUUUGUUGGGGCGACAAUAUAAUCAUAAACUUAUUUAAUCUAACUACUAGACCAGUUAGAUUAAAUUACCUGAGGGAUAACAGCAUAAUCUAAUGUUUAUGACCUCGAUGUUGGACUAGGAAAUAACGGCUAGCAGCUGUUAUUGUUCUGUUCGAACCCUACGUGAUCU